rnacentral:sRNA from 1 species
GCACCGGAUAGGUUGGCCCCCGAAAAGGCGUUUCUCGGACGCCCUGCCGGUGCAUCCCAUACAGCCGAGG